GGCGCCAUUUUCAGUCUGCACUCGAGAGUGCAGCACGCAAAGCGCUAGAAAAUAACAACAAGACAGGCACGCGGAAGAAAAAACAAACUGAUUCGGCAAAUAGCAAUCAAAUUACCAGUUAAAAUAGGUGAAAAUUGGCUAAAUGGGCGUCCAGAUACAACAGGAUGAGCGAGGAUCCUGAACGGAGCUGCAUUACAAACUACAUGGCAAUCAUUAAACGCGAAUUAAUCAUGCGAUAUGCAGCGAGAAAAGCAAAAGUCCAGGCUGACUACUGCGGAAAAACAGGAUUAGCCUUGCAGGACCAAGUGGAAAAGUGCAAAAGGCAGGGCAAAAGGGCUCAGGCCCAGAGAAGCCGCAGAUGGCGACAGGUGGGUGGACAGCGGGUGGCCAAUUCCCGAAGGCGAGACCCAAAGCCGAUCAGAAAUCAAGAGCCCCCAACAAGCAGGUGCGACUGAAAGUGACUUGCACUGGGGAACGCUCCGCAGACAGCAACAAACUACACUGGCCAAACCGAACCUUGAUCGGAUGUGUUAUUUCCAAAAAUAUAUAGUUUUUAGGUAAAUAAUAUGUCCAUAUCGCCAGGAUGGCCGUUAAUCUUACGACGUUCCAUAGAGAGCAUAUACUGGAUUUUCGACUGCAUUAGCAUGGCACUGGCCAAUGGCAUAUUACGGAUUUGCGCGGCAACGCUCAACCCGAAGUAGGUGAAUUCGUCCUCGCCUCGCAUUUCAACUCCGAGGCCAAUUCCAUUCGUCCGUCCCGCUGCCGAUGAUCCCAGGCCCAAUCCCAAGACAUCACUUUUUUCAGAAAUGGAGCAGGCUGUCGACAAAGGACAGUUCCCUGCCAUCGGAACAGGCGCUGGAGCUGGAUGUGCUGGUGAGAUGAUGUCUCCGAUCUUGGACAGGGAGGGCGGUGGAGUUGGAGGCUCCUCCAUGGGCAUAGGUGCUGGCAGAACGGUAAAUAAGGAAGAGGGUGUAGGAUCCAACGGCCUCUCGGGGGCAGACAAGUCAUCGGGAUCUGGCUUAAUCUCCGUCUGAAUCUUAAUCGGCUUCAGUCUAGUAAGUCGAAUCUGUAGACGCUUUAGUUGAGGAAUUGAUGUUUCCAACUCAUUCUGUAAACAAAUAUAACAUUGUUAUUUGUGUUAUAAUUUAUAUAUGAGAAUACGUUUAAAUGAAAACCAUAAACAUCUAAUAAAACCAAUACUACCGCA